rnacentral:rRNA from 1 species
AUGGUAUCAGACGCUGCCGCAACCAACCCGUUUGCGCCCGAUCUGUCCUCUCCUUCCGCUGCCAUGGACACCAAUCCCCUAGCCACCCCUGACACCUCUGACAACGAUGCGUCCGCUCCGGCCGCGAGCGCGCCUCCGCCCUUUGCUCUGGCGAACGCCCCGCCCGCGAGCGCGCCUCUGUCCACCGUGCCCCCGGCGCCGCUGCUCGCGCCCGGCGCUUUUCCGUCCACGGUCCUGCAGACCAUUGACAUCUGGCAUCACGUUCCGGUCACCCUCGACCUCCAUGCCGGCAACUACGCCCAGUGGCGACGCUUCUUCCUCACCAUUGUCGACAUGUUCGGCGUGCGCGACCACCUUGUCGCUCCUGCUGCCCCUCGCCGUCGCGAUCCCGAAUGGGUCAUGGUCGACCACUGUGUCGUUCAUUGGCUCUACUCCACCGUCUCCCCUGAGCUGCUCGACGCCGUGAUGCAGCCCGACGACACUGCCAACGUGCUCUGGGCUGCGAUCGAGGGCAUCUUCCGCGACAACAACCUCUCCCGGGCGGUGUAUCUCGAUGCCGAGUACCACGUUGUGGUGCAGGGCGACCUCACGGUGAUGCAGUACUGCACUCGCCUCAAGUCCUUCGCGACCUCGGCCAGCCUGUCUCCGAGCCGCAGCAACUGUUCAACAUGUUGCGCGGGCUCGGGCGCCAGUACCACACCGCGAUCCCCCACCUCACCUCGCGUGUCCCGCUGCCCACGUUUCUUGAGGCCCGCUCCUUCCUCCUCCUCGAAGAACAUCGCGCCGAGCAGGCGGCUCGCCAGCAAACCGCCCAUGCUCUCAUCGCGACGCGCCCGCCGGUCAGCCCAGCGCCCCCGACGCCUUCCUCGAUGGCGGGGCUGGUCGCGGGCGAAAUUGUGUCAAGCCUCCUGGCCUAGGAAGGGCCUGGCUGACGUGGUGAGUGUGCAGGCUGUCGACCUAACCUACCGAACAGAAUCGUUCGGUGGAUCGAUGGUUCCACCGAACGAAUCGUUCGGUAGGGUGGUCCUCCUGCCACACAUGUGGUGA